AGUGAACGCUGGCGGCGUGCCUAAUACAUGCAAGUCGAACGGAGUGGCGCACGGGUGAGUAAUAUAUAGCUAAUCUGCCCCUAGCAGGAGGACAACAGUUAGAAAUGACUGCUAAUACCCCAUAGCAAGGGAUGAGACUAUAUCGUAUCAGCUAGUCGGUGGGGUAAAGGCCUACCGAGGCUAUGACGCGUAACUGGCCUGAGGGGAUGUUCAGUCACAUUGGAACGGAGACACUGUCCAGACGCCUACGGGAGGCAGCAGUAGGGAAUAUUGCGCAAUGGGGGAAACCCUUACGCAGCAACGCCGCGUGGAGGAUGAUACUUUGCGGAGCGUAAACUCCUUUUGUUAGGGAAGCGGUACCUAACGAAUAAGCACCGGCUAACUCCGUGCCAGCAGCCGCGGUAAUAC
rnacentral:rRNA from 1 species